CCAUAGCCAAGUGGUAAGGCAACAGACUGCAACUCUGUCAUCAUCGGUUCAAGUCCGAUUGG
rnacentral:tRNA from 1 species